UACGGGAGGCAGCAGUGGGGAAUAUUGCACAAUGGGCGCAAGCCUGAUGCAGCCAUGCCGCGUGUAUGAAGAAGGCCUUCGGGUUGUAAAGUACUUUCAGUCGUGAGGAAGGUGUUAAGGUUAAUAACCUUAGCAAUUGACGUUAGCGACAGAAGAAGCACCGGCUAACUCCGUGCCAGCAGCCGCGGUAAUACGGAGAGUGCGAGCGUUAAUCGGAAUUACUGGGCGUAAAGGGCACGCAGGCGGUUAAUUAAGUUGGAUGUGAAAUCCCCGGGCUUAACCUGGGAAUGGCAUUCAAGACUGGUUAGCUAGAGUCUUGUAGAGGGGGUAGAAUUCCAUGUGUAGCGGUGAAAUGCGUAGAGAUGUGGAGGAAUACCGGUGGCGAAGGCGGCCCCUGGACAAAGACUGACGCUCAUGUGCGAAAGCGUGGGGAGCAAACAGGGAUUAGAUACC
rnacentral:rRNA from 1 species